rnacentral:rRNA from 1 species
AUUCCAGCUCCAAUAGCGUAUAUUAAAGUUGUUGCAGUUAAAAAGCCCGUGGUUGGAUUUCUGCCGGGAGCGUCAUGUCUUUCGCCUUGUGCGACUGAACGUUGUCGUCUUUUGGCAUCCUUGCGGAGAUGCGUUUUGGCAUUAAGUUGUCGGGGCGUGGAUUCGCAUCGUUUACUGUGAAAAAAUUAGAGUGUUUAAAGCAGGCAAUUGCUGUGAAUACAUUAGCAUGGAAUAAUAAGAUAGGACUUGUUGCUAUUUUGUUGGUUUGCACGACAAGUAAUGAUUAACAGGAACAGUUGGGAGUAUUCGUAUUUAAUUGUCAGAGGUGAAAUUCUCGGAUUUAUGAAAGACGAACAACUGCGAAAGCAUUUACUAAGGAUGUUUUCAUCA